CACUCCUUUAUUGACUUUUAUGCCCCUGCAUUAGUUUUUUACACCUAUAUAAACCCAAAUCCUCAUCCACUGAGUUUCAGACAAGGCGAUUGUGAUAUAUCAAGAAUCAAAGCAAAAGAUUCAGAUUUUUUUUGCACACACAAAACACACACUAAUGGGUGAUCGGAAUUUGAAGACCAUUUCAGACAUUCUGGCGGAGGUUUCUCGAACUGAUGAUUUUUCGAGGAAAUUAAGGAAGCUUGAAUUUUAUGUCGGCGCGUUCGAAGAUGAACUGAGGAAGAUUGAUGGCUUCAAACGUGAAUUGCCGAACUGCAUGCGCCUCUUGAUCGAUGCAAUUCAGAGGUUGAAGGAGGAGGAAUUGAUGCUGUUUAAGAGUGAGGGUGGAAAUGGAAGGGCAAAAGCGUCAAAUGACUCUAGAGAGAGGAAGAAUUGGAUGAGUUCGGUGCAGCUGUGGACCACCCCUGUUCAAUACGAAACCAACUAUUUGACCAGAAAUCAAGAUUCCAUUUUGCACCUGACAUCAAGGUGUGAUCAAGAAGGGGAGGGCAAUGGGAGUAAAUUCAGGCACAAGGAAGGGUCAUUUAUGCCAUUCAAGAAAUCAUAUGACGUGGCAAUGGUGGAAGAAGAGAGAGGAGGUAAUCCGCUGCGACAGCCAACAGCAGUACCAGUCCAUGGUUUGACCGUCAAAGGGCAUUUUGGUCCUGGUAGGCCAAAACUGCACCAACAGGAACUGGAGAAGAAACAUCGUCGAUGUUGGUCUCCUGAAUUGCACGACAGAUUUGUUGAUGCCCUCAAUCAGCUUGGUGGUGCUCAAAGUAUCUCUUUCUCUCUCUCUCUCUCUCUCUCUCUCUCUCACACACACACACACACAUGAAAAUAUUUAAUAUAUCCAUUUAUAUUUCUUCUUUUUAUAGUAGCGACACCAAAGCAGAUUAGGGGAAUUAUGAAAGUGGAAGGCCUCACUAAUGAUGAAGUGAAAAGCCAUUUGCAGAAAUACAGGAUUCAUGUAAGAAAGGUUCCUACUUUAUCGAACCCGGUGGCUGCACAUUCCGCCUCCCCACAAGGGCAUUUGUGUCUUCUUCCAAGGCCGGACGAAGAGGGUUCAGCCACCGGCGGUGCUAGCUUGGAAGAAGAAGAAGAAGGUGAGAAAACCGAAGGCUGUGUUUCGAAUGGCGGGGCCCACAAGCAUGUAGAUCGAAAUGUAUAGGGUUUUGUACAUCCUAGAAAUUGUUCACAUAUAUACAAAUAUAGAUAAAUCAUAAGUAUACAAAUCGUGUAGAUCGAAAUAUUUUCUCGUCCGUCUCAAGGCAUAAGAUUUUGAAUUUGCAGAGAUUAUAGAAAUGUGUUGAAUCUUAGAAUGAAUUGUUUUGACAUUUGUGUAAUACAGUCGGGUAUUUGUGUAAUAAAAUUCUUGUUGCUCGUAUCACAUAUUGAAUAUCUCGUAGCAUGUUAUC